GACGAACGCUGGCGGCGUGCUUAACACAUGCAAGUCGAACGGAAAGGCCUGCUUUCCCUUGUGGAUUGCGGGUACUCGAGUGGCUAACGGGUGAGUAACACGUGAGUGAUCUGCCCCCACCUUGGGUAUAAGCCUGGGAAACUGGGUCUAAUUUCCGAUAGGACUGCAGGGUGGUGCCUGUGGUGGAAAACGAUUUUCUAGUGGUUGGGGAUGAGCUCGCGGCCUAUGAGCUUGUUGGUGGGGUAAUGGCCUACCAAGGCGGCGACGGGUAGCCGGCCUGAGAGGGUGGACGGCGACAUUGGGACUGAGACACGGCCCAGACUCCUACGGGAGGCAGCAGUGGGGAAUAUUGCACAAUGGGCGGAAGCCUGAUGCAGCGACGCCGCGUGGGGGAUGACGGCCUUCGGGUUGUAAACUCCUUGCGACCGCGAGGAAGCCACCUGGUUGGAAGGGUGGUGACGGUAGUGGUAGAAGAAGCACCGGCUAACUACGUG
rnacentral:rRNA from 1 species